AUGGCGCGCGGUCCUGGCUGGUUGGACGGAGACGCGAAGUUAAAUUAAACUUCAAAUUCUUGCUUGGAAAGUACGGAAGGAGAGCCGAGGAUGUAUUUCCUUGGUGGAUCUGCUGAGUUGAAUCUGCAGAGGAAGACCCGGAGAUCCAGGUUUAGAGAUGGAUGAAAUCACACUGAAAUGGACACAGUGGUCACCUGAGGCUCCUCAGCUCUGAGGGAGCAGUUUGAUUCCCCUGAUUAGUCCUGGAGUCCUGCUGCGAGUGAAGUCUACAGCCAUGAGCUGAUGGCAUCCACACUAGGGGGGGAUGGGAUGGAGCCUGCUCUUCUAGGUAAGUGUUGGAUCUAAAAGCAUCUGUUUUGUGU